CUCAAAGGAAUUGACGGGGGCCCGCACAAGCGGCGGAGCAUGCGGAUUAAUUCGAUGCAACGCGAAGAACCUUACCAAGGCUUGACAUAUACGAGAACGGGCUAGAAAUAGUCAACUCUUUGGACACUCGUAAAUAGGUGGUGCAUGGUUGUCGUCAGCUCGUGUCGUGAGAUGUUGGGUUAAGUCCCGCAACGAGCGCAACCCUCGUCCUAUGUUGCCAGCACGUAAUGGUGGGAACUCAUGGGAGACUGCCGGGGUCAACUCGGAGGAAGGUGGGGAUGACGUCAAAUCAUCAUGCCCCUUAUGUCUUGGGCUUCACGCAUGCUACAAUGGCCGGUACAAAGGGCUGCAAUACCGUAAGGUGGAGCGAAUCCCAAAAAGCCGGUCUCAGUUCGGAUUGAGGUCUGCAACUCGACCUCAUGAAGUUGGAGUCGCUAGUAAUCGUGGAUCAGCAACGCCACGGUGAAUACGUUCCCGGGCCUUGUACACACCGCCCGUCAAGUCAUGAAAGUCGGUAACACCCGAAGCCAGUGGCCCAACCGCAAGGAGGGAGCUGUCGAAGGUGGGAUCGGUGAUUAGGACUAAGUCGUAACAAGGUAACC
rnacentral:rRNA from 1 species